GUAAAACAUUAAUGGCAAAAUGACACCUUUACAGCGAUGUGUUCUAAUAAGCUUACUUGUUUUUACAAUUGGUCAAUUUUGAAUUUGAGCAUUAACAAGAUCAAAUUUAAUCCAAUUUACUCUUUGUCACAAGGUCAUUAAACACAUUGUUGAAAAGGUGCUAGUUUGUAUUCAAUCACAAUGAUUAUUUUAAUGCAGUUAAAUUGUUUCAUCUUCAUCCUCUGAAGAAAUGUCUACUGGUCCACGUUUAAGAAGGUUUUUC